GCCAACCAACCUCACCAGCCCUGAGCUACAGUCCCACUUUACCCAGUUGUGUUCAUUAUCCAUAUUUACUGAACCCUAUCGGCUACCAUUUGGAUUUUUCUCCUGCAAAGUAUUUUUCCUGAACAAAGUGUCUCCUGAGUCUGACCCAGGUUAGGGGUUCAUGUCAGAGCUGGAGGAUGAGACCAACAUGGAGCUGGAGCUGGAGCAGAGCACGCCACACUCACCAAAUCUCCCUCCUUCACCUCCAGUGUGGAUGGAAUCAGAGUCGGUGAAGGAGGAUCUUGUGGUGGGAAGAAAUAUUUUCAUCAGUCAGUAAAGAAAUAAG
ensembl:lncRNA